rnacentral:rRNA from 1 species
UUAACACAUGCAAGUCGAGGGGCAGCAUGGUCUUAGCUUGCUAAGGCCGAUGGCGACCGGCGCACGGGUGAGUAACACGUAUCCAACCUGCCGUCUACUCUUGGACAGCCUUCUGAAAGGAAGAUUAAUACAAGAUGGCAUCAUGAGUCCGCAUGUUCACAUGAUUAAAGGUAUUCCGGUAGACGAUGGGGAUGCGUUCCAUUAGAUAGUAGGCGGGGUAACGGCCCACCUAGUCUUCGAUGGAUAGGGGUUCUGAGAGGAAGGUCCCCCACAUUGGAACUGAGACACGGUCCAAACUCCUACGGGAGGCAGCAGUGAGGAAUAUUGGUCAAUGGGCGCAGGCCUGAACCAGCCAAGUAGCGUGAAGGAUGACUGCCCUGUGGGUUGUAAACUUCUUUUAUAAAGGAAUAAAGUCGGGUAUGUAUACCCGUUUGCAUGUACUUUAUGAAUAAGGAUCGGCUAACUCCGUGCCAGCAGCCGCGGUAAUACGGAGGAUCCGAGCGUUAUCCGGAUUUAUUGGGUUUAAAGGGAGCGUAGAUGGAUGUUUAAGUCAGUUGUGAAAGUUUGCGGCUCAACCGUAAAAUUGCAGUUGAUACUGGAUAUCUUGAGUGCAGUUGAGGCAGGCGGAAUUCGUGGUGUAGCGGUGAAAUGCUUAGAUAUCACGAAGAACUCCGAUUGCGAAGGCAGCCUGCUAAGCUG